rnacentral:rRNA from 1 species
AUCAAAGGGAGCUUGCUCCCUGAGAUUAGCGGCGGACGGGUGAGUAACACGUGGGCAACCUGCCUAUAAGACUGGGAUAACUUCGGGAAACCGGAGCUAAUACCGGAUAAUGUUUUUUGACUCAUGUCGAGAAACUGAAAGAUGGCGUCACGCUAUCACUUAUAGAUGGGCCCGCGGCGCAUUAGCUAGUUGGUGAGGUAACGGCUCACCAAGGCGACGAUGCGUAGCCGACCUGAGAGGGUGAUCGGCCACACUGGGACUGAGACACGGCCCAGACUCCUACGGGAGGCAGCAGUAGGGAAUCUUCCGCAAUGGACGAAAGUCUGACGGAGCAACGCCGCGUGAGUGAUGAAGGUUUUCGGAUCGUAAAACUCUGUUGUUAGGGAAGAACAAGUACCGUUCGAAUAGGGCGGUACCUUGACGGUACCUAACCAGAAAGCCACGGCUAACUACGUGCCAGCAGCCGCGGUAAUACGUAGGUGGCAAGCGUUGUCCGGAAUUAUUGGGCGUAAAGCGCGCGCAGGCGGUCUCUUAAGUCUGAUGUGAAAGCCCCCGGCUCAACCGGGGAGGGUCAUUGGAAACUGGGAGACUUGAGUGCAGAAGAGAAGAGCGGAAUUCCACGUGUAGCGGUGAAAUGCGUAGAGAUGUGGAGGAACACCAGUGGCGAAGGCGGCUCUUUGGUCUGUAACUGACGCUGAGGCGCGAAAGCGUGGGGAGCAAACAGGAUUAGAUACCCUGGUAGUCCACGCCGUAAACGAUGAGUGCUAAGUGUUAGAGGGUUUCCGCCCUUUAGUGCUGCAGCAAACGCAUUAAGCACUCCGCCUGGGGAGUACGGCCGCAAGGCUGAAACUCAAAGGAAUUGACGGGGGCCCGCACAAGCGGUGGAGCAUGUGGUUUAAUUUGAAGCAACGCGAAGAACCUUACCAGGUCUUGACAUCCUCUGCUAACCCUAGAGAUAGGGCGUUCCCCUUCGGGGGACGGAGUGACAGGUGGUGCAUGGUUGUCGUCAGCUCGUGUCGUGAGAUGUUGGGUUAAGUCCCGCAACGAGCGCAACCCUUGUCCUUAGUUGCCAGCAUUCAGUUGGGCACUCUAAGGAGACUGCCGGUGACAAACCGGAGGAAGGUGGGGAUGACGUCAAAUCAUCAUGCCCCUUAUGACCUGGGCUACACACGUGCUACAAUGGAUGGUACAAAGGGCAGCGAAGCGGCGACGCGUCAGCGAAUCCCAUAAAACCAUUCUCAGUUCGGAUUGUAGGCUGCAACUCGCCUACAUGAAGCCGGAAUCGCUAGUAAUCGCGGAUCAGCAUGCCGCGGUGAAUACGUUCCCGGGCCUUGUACACACCGCCCGUCACACCACGAGAGUUUGUAACACCCGAAGUCGGUGGG